GACGAACGCUGGCGGCGUGCCUAAUACAUGCAAGUCGAGCGAAUCAAUGGGAGCUUGCUCCCGUUGGUUAGCGGCGGACGGGUGAGUAACACGUGGGCAACCUGCCUAUAAGACUGGGAUAACUUCGGGAAACCGGAGCUAAUACCGGAUAAUCCUUUUUGACACAUGUCGGAAAGCUGAAAGACGGUGCAAGCUGUCACUUAUAGAUGGGCCCGCGGCGCAUUAGCUAGUUGGUGAGGUAAUGGCUCACCAAGGCGACGAUGCGUAGCCGACCUGAGAGGGUGAUCGGCCACACUGGGACUGAGACACGGCCCAGACUCCUACGGGAGGCAGCAGUAGGGAAUCUUCCGCAAUGGACGAAAGUCUGACGGAGCAACGCCGCGUGAGCGAUGAAGGCCUUCGGGUCGUAAAGCUCUGUUGUUAGGGAAGAACAAGUAUCGGAGUAACUGCCGGUACCUUGACGGUACCUAACCAGAAAGCCACGGCUAACUACGUGCCAGCCGCCGCCGUAAUAC
rnacentral:rRNA from 1 species